CAGCCGCCACGGGAAUACGAAGGGGGCUAGCGCUGUUCGGAUUUACUGGGUGUAAAGGGUGCGUAGGCGGACUGAUAAGUCAGGGGUGAAAUCCCAAGGCUCAACCUUGGAACUGCCUUUGAUACUGGGGAUCUUGAGUCCGGAAGAGGUGAGUGGAACUGCGAGUGUAGAGGUGAAAUUCGUAGAUAUUCGCAAGAACACCGGUGGCGAAGGCGGCUCACUGGUCCGGAACUGACGCUGAGGCACGACAGCGUGGGGAGCAAACAGGAUUAGAUACCCCGGUAGUCCCUGUCUCUUAUAC
rnacentral:rRNA from 1 species